ensembl:lncRNA
AGAUCAAAAAGUGAUGAUUUUGUUUGUUUAAUCCGAGCACAGACUGAAAGUUGUGGAUUUUUAAUGCCUUGACAUCUCUGUGACAUUUCAGUCAACUUAAGUAUUCCAACCUGAACCUUUUACGGAAAAGAGUCCGGUGUGAGAGUUUCCUCGGCCAGCUUUGAGUGGCCUGUGGAUGAACUCAUUCAGCGGUGAACUUGAUACUAAAGGUGAAAUGAAAGCGGGGGUCUCUCAUUGCCAAUCAUUGUAUUUCCUGCAUAGUGCAGUGGUUGUUGGUGAAGGACUUUGGGUUUAGGCCCGUCGGCUGUAUCAUAAGAUAUUUCCCAGAAGCCUAAAGCAUGACUUGAACCCAGCAGAUGUAUUUACUAAUGCAAACUAGCGUCUCUGAGAGCGGCACAGAAGGGGGUUGGGUUUGAAAAUUGUGGUCAUAAAAAAUGCAUGUGCUUCGAGAAAUCCAAGCGCGUCAUCUGGAUCAGAAAGAUCCUCGAUGCAUUACAGGCUGCCAGGCAAUCAUCACUGGCAGAACUCCACCCGUCAGCACCGGGGCGCCAUUAGCACGCCGGCAAACGAUAAACGACAACAACACCGGCGAUAACCACUACAGAAAUACCAGCGAAAACAACAAGAUAGGGAGGGGAACUGAGCUAAACCGUAUUAGAGGCACUAGUAGUACAAUUACACAUGUUUAGUGGUAGUUAUUGGAACCAAAGUCUUCAAACUUCAGCAUUCAUUUUACACUAUACACAAUAUCCAACAGAUCUGUAAUAUUAUUCCAUCCAUAUAUCCAACAGGAAUAACAACAUUCAAAUAAAAUGAUGAUUUUUCUCAUGACACGGUUAUUAUUUCUGAGCGCUAUAAGAAGGCUGCCAUCCUUUGGAAAGUACAAGCGAUUCAAUCCUCAACCAUAAAGACCUAAACUAGCCAAUCUGAGGCCGAGCAGGGCGUGUCCUUGUGGAAUGUGGGUGGGGACCAAACGUCUUAACGAAGCUGUGUACAUAACAGCCGCCAUGACCAGCUCAGUUUGAGGCAGGAGAACAGGCGAAGGAAGGGACACGUGUCUCUUCCCGUCAUGGAGUCCUAAUGAGACCGUAUAGAGCCUUCGGAUCUAUUAAAUGAAAAGCAGACCAUUAACCCCUCCCCUUGAUGAAGUCUAAAAGAAUAGAAACAAGAGACCCCAUCAGCUCUCUUUGGAGCACUCUCUCCAUGUUAUCUGACUCCCAAAUGGAGACACACACACACACACGCAUUCACUUAUUUGGUAUAAUGUGUUCUCCUAUUCCUCAUUAUCUUGUAUGAGUGAUGGAAUGGAUCAAUGCAGGUCAUUGAUCUGCCGUUGCUGAUGCAUAGACUAAAAAGUUAGUAUAAUAGUAUUGAUAAAGUCAUACUGUGCACACAAACACACGCACACCCAGUAAUAAAACCUUACUGGAAUAGCACUGUUUCAGGCUCAACUAUCGCGCUGAUCAGUAGGCGUAUGGAUUUUGUCUGUUACAGUUGAAACUCGGCAGGAGUCAGUGCACGGCGGUUUGCAUGCAUUUUAAAGUUUAUACUGAACAUUUCCUGAAAGUUUUCUACAUUUUCAGGACUUUAGUCUUGAUGUAAUAAUCUGAUGUAUCAGCAUCUUGGAAAAGGAAUCUGUAGAUUUGAAGAUUUUUGACGCUGAUGUCCGAAGUCACUCAAAAUCCUUUUUUGCAGGUAUCACCUAAAUAGAAUUGGUAUAUUAUUCCUUCUGUCUAUUAAAUCAAAUCUCCUUUCCUUUUAUUCUCUGUUGCACCAGCAGAGAGCGCUAGAGGAGCAGAGCACAUCCAGACACGCUAACGGCCCCAUUCUGGAGGUGAGCGGCGUGUGCGGACAGCAUAACGCUGGGGAGGGAUUCAGCACAUCUGUACUCACUUCCACAAAGACACGUUGCUCACGUUGAGCCGGUAAAAUCACAUCAGGCUAAAAUAUAUGAACACAAAUAGAGGUGUGAAACUGUGCCGCUGUCCCUGGUGCUGAAAUGUCAAACUCCUGACAUUAACUUUGGCUGCACUGACAGAGGGGAAACCGUGACACCUGCCUGUUGGUGGUGGACGCACACACACACACACACUGAAGAAUUGUCUGUCUGAUCCCAUUGAGAGACAGCAGUCACGGAGUCACACUCACUAGCACGGGGUGAGUGUGACUUGCGGCUCGUUGUGUGUGCUGUGUCAUCUCUCCUGUUGUGACCACAAGUGCUCAAAUCCUCUGAUUAAUCCUCCCAAAAAAGUAGCCUUUAACGUGCUACUUUUGUGUGAUGUGUGAUGGUGCUUAAAGGAGAAAUCUACGUGAUUCAAAGCAUUCAUUCAGCGGCAAACAGCAUGGUGGAGCAGCACAAACCGGUCGCAGCCGGUAACAUCGGCGUUGCAACCGGUAAUAUCGCCGCCACAUCCGGUAACAUCGCCUUAGCAGCCGGUGACUCUUUCACCCGUGAACCUGUGCCCAUCCUUUCCCUCAGGACAAAGUGUAUUCUUUUAGCAGGAGAGUAGCUGGCUGUCAGCUGGCUUUUUGGCGUGCUGGCUCCCUAAACCCCUUACACAGUGACUCACAUACACACAUUUACACUCACGUGCACAUGCUCACACACACACACACACACACACAUACUCAUACUCAUCAACGUGCCAUGUUGCCACAUCUGUUCACAUGGAGUAGGAUUUUCAUUUACAUCUGGACUGGGUCAUUCCCAGCUUGUGUGUGUGUGUGUGUGUGUGUGUGUGUGUGUGUGUUAAGUGGAUGGGUUAGAAUCUCUGUGGACCUCGGGGUGAAUUGCAUGGAACCAUCCAGCAGCUGCUUUGUGGCUCGAUGCAGAGGGACAACGAGCUGAGGCUCCUUUUUGAAGACUGAAAAGGAUUCAUUUUCUUAGCCAAUUUAGGGUCUUGCGGAUUUUUCCAGUUUCCACCGAAUUUCUGAACAAUUGAGAACACCUUCAUCAAAAUCACGGAAAUUUACUUCACAGUUAGACGGACACUAAAACGAACUUGAAUAACCAUCUGCAAAGGCUAGCCGCAUGAGUGGUUCUUAGUGAUCAUCAAAGACUAAGAGUCAGCAGAGGGAAACUUGAGGCAGGGGUAGACGGGCCAAGUCAUGGCUCAUGCCGCGGCACACCUGAAGAAAGCCCGCGAGCUCGAGGCAAAUCCAGAAUACAGAGCUCUGCAGAAAGCGCGGGAGAGGAGGCGCCGGCACCGAGAGAGAGCCGAGCGGAGGCGGCAGGUAAAAGGCACACAACCCUCUGACGACAUCCUACUCAAUAGUCUGUGUUGUUUCUUUCCCCUUUUCAACCUUGCGUGCUCUUAGGAGUUAAGAUGACACGUUGUUGGUGGGCAUUGGGGCAUUGUGUGUGUGU